AGAGUUUGAUCAUGGCUCAGGAUGAACGCUGGCGGCGUGCCUAAUACAUGCAAGUCGAACGCUUUGUGCUUAAUUGAUAUGAUGAGCUUGCUCUGAUUUGAUUUUUUGAUUUCAAAGAGUGGCGCACGGGUGAGUAACACGUGGGUAACCUACCUCUUAGCAGGGGAUAACAUUUGGAAACAAGUGCUAAUACCGUAUAAUACCAACAACCGCAUGGUUGUUGGUUGAAAGAUGGUUCUGCUAUCACUAAGAGAUGGACCCGCGGUGCAUUAGCUAGUUGGUAAGGUAAUGGCUUACCAAGGCAAUGAUGCAUAGCCGAGUUGAGAGACUGAUCGGCCACAAUGGGACUGAGACACGGCCCAUACUCCUACGGGAGGCAGCAGUAGGGAAUCUUCCACAAUGGGCGCAAGCCUGAUGGAGCAACGCCGCGUGUGUGAUGAAGGGUUUCGGCUCGUAAAACACUGUUAUGAGAGAAGAACGGCACUGAGAGUAACUGUUCAGUGUGUGACGGUAUCUUACCAGAAAGGAACGGCUAAAUACGUGCCAGCAGCCGCGGUAAUACGUAUGUUCCAAGCGUUAUCCGGAUUUAUUGGGCGUAAAGCGAGCGCAGACGGUUAUUUAAGUCUGAAGUGAAAGCCCUCAGCUCAACUGAGGAAUUGCUUUGGAAACUGGAUGACUUGAGUGCAGUAGAGGAAAGUGGAACUCCAUGUGUAGCGGUGAAAUGCGUAGAUAUAUGGAAGAACACCAGUGGCGAAGGCGGCUUUCUGGACUGUAACUGACGUUGAGGCUCGAAAGUGUGGGUAGCAAACAGGAUUAGAUACCCUGGUAGUCCACACCGUAAACGAUGAGUGCUAGAUGUUCGAGGGUUUCCG
rnacentral:rRNA from 1 species